GGCGUAAGCGCGCGUAGGUGGUUCGUUAAGUUGGAUGUGAAAGCCCCGGCCUUAUCCUGGGAACUGCAUUCAAAACUGACGAGCUAGAGUACGCUAGAGAGUGGUGGAAUUUCCUGUGUAGCGGUGAAAUGCGUAAAUAUAGGAAGGAACACCAGUGGCGAAGGCGACCUCCUGGACUGAUACUGACACUGAGGAGCGAAAGCGUGGGGAGCAAACAGGAUUAUAUACCCUGGUAUUCCACCCAGUAAACAAUGUCAACUAGCCAUUGGGACCCUUGACCUCUUAGUGGCGCAACUAACGCAUUAAAUUGACCGCCU
rnacentral:rRNA from 1 species